rnacentral:rRNA from 1 species
UGCGUGCUUAACACAUGCAAGUCGAACGCUGAAGCCACUUCGGUGGUGGAUGAGUGGCGAACGGGUGAGUAACACGUGGGUAAUCUGUCCUGCACUCUGGGAUAAGCCCUGGAAACGGGGUCUAAUACCGGAUAUGACUUCGCACCGCAUGGUGUGGGGUGGAAAGUUCCGGCGGUGCAGGGUGAGCCCGCGGCCUAUCAGCUUGUUGGUGGGGUGAUGGCCUACCAAGGCGACGACGGGUAGCCGGCCUGAGAGGGUGACCGGCCACACUGGGACUGAGACACGGCCCAGACUCCUACGGGAGGCAGCAGUGGGGAAUAUUGCACAAUGGGCGCAAGCCUGAUGCAGCGACGCCGCGUGAGGGAUGACGGCCUUCGGGUUGUAAACCUCUUUCGCCAGGGACGAAGCGCAAGUGACGGUACCUGGAGAAGAAGCACCGGCUAACUACGUGCCAGCAGCCGCGGUAAUACGUAGGGUGCGAGCGUUGUCCGGAAUUAUUGGGCGUAAAGAGCUCGUAGGCGGUUUGUUGCGUCGGCCGUGAAAACUGGAGGCUUAACCUUCAGCUUGCGGUCGAUACGGGCAGACUUGAGUUCGGUAGGGGAGACUGGAAUUCCUGGUGUAGCGGUGAAAUGCGCAGAUAUCAGGAGGAACACCGGUGGCGAAGGCGGGUCUCUGGGCCGAUACUGACGCUGAGGAGCGAAAGCGUGGGGAGCGAACAGGAUUAGAUACCCUGGUAGUCCACGCUGUAAACGUUGGGCGCUAGG